ACAGACGUGGUAUAUUGGUAGUGCAGCAGUCUCCAAAACUGCCUUAUGGGAGUUCGAUUCUCUCCGUCUGUGCCA
rnacentral:tRNA from 1 species